AUGUUUCUAUUGUAAAAAGCAAAUCUAUUUUCCAAAUAGAAAGUUGGGUAACCAGAAUCAUA
rnacentral:tRNA from 1 species